AAAAAAAAAGAGGACUAAAAACCUUUGUGUAGUUGGGUCAGUGGCCUAUUCCUGUUCCCCCAGAUUCUUUUGGUGGAUAAGUUCUAGAGAGUGUUUAAAGUAUAUUUGCAUUGUUUAAUCCUGUUUUAAAUUUUUCCAUUGAUAAGACUCGCAUACAGUUUGGUUUUGUGAUAUUUCUGGUCUCUUUGUUUCUUGUGUUUUAGAGAACACCCAGGGACUGUAAAGUAUACUCAGCAAUAUGUUUUAGAACAGACUGUUUUCUUUUGCAUCACUAAUCUUUUCCUAACAUGCAGCAUUUACUGUUUAAAAAGCUAAAGUCCACCAGGCACAGUGGCUCAUGCGUGUGAUCCCAGCACUUUGGGAGGCCGAGGUGGGCGGAUCACCUGAGGUCAGGAGUUCAACACCAGUCUGGCCAACAUGGUGAAACCCCAUCUCUACUAAAAAUACAAAAAUUGGCUGGGCGUGGUGGUGCACGCCUGUAAUCCCAGCUACUUGGGAGGCUGAGGCAGGAGAAGCAUUUCAACCUGGGAGGCAGAGGUUGCAGUGAGCCAAGAUGAUGCCAUUGCACUCCAGCCUAGGCGACAGAGCAAGACCCCAUCUUAACAAAAUAAAAAAUAAGUUAAAGUUGGACGGGUGCGGUGGCUCACACCUGUAAUCCUACCACUUUGGGAGGCUGAGGCAGGUGGAUCAUUUGAAGUCAGAAGUUUGAGACCAGCCUGGCCAAUAUGGUGAAACCCCAUCUCUACUAAAAAAAAUGUAAAGAUUAGCCAGGCAUGGUGGUGCAUGCCUGUAAUCCCCGCUACUCAGGAGGCUGAGACAGGAGGAUUGCAUGAACCCAGGAGAUAAAGGUUGCAGUGAGUGGAGAUCCCACCACGGCACUCCAGCCAGGGCAUUAGAGUGAGACUUCGUCCCCCUGCAAAAAAAAAUUGUAUUAAUAACAUAUUUAUUAAUUUGUUAUAUCUUUAUGGAUUAUGGAGUAAUAAUAGAUACGCUCUUAUUCCCUCCUCAUAAACAGUUAUGUGGUUUUUGUUUUUUAGG
rnacentral:lncRNA from 10 species